UACGGAAGGCAGCAGCAGGGGGAAUAUUGCACAAUGGGCGAAAGCCUGAUGCAGCUAUGCCGCGUGUAUGAAGAAGGCCUUAGGGUUGUAAAGUACUUUCAUCGGGGAGGAAAAAACAAAACUAAUAAUUUUAUUUCUUGACGUUACCCGAAAAAGAAGCACCGGCUAACUCCGUGCCAGCAGCCGCGGUAAUACGGAGGGUGCUAGCGUUAAUCAGAAUUACUGGGCGUAAAGAGCACGUAGGUGGUUUUUUAAGUCAGAUGUGAAAUCCCUGGGCUUAACCUAGGAACUGCAUUUUGAAACUGAAAUACUAGAGUAUCGUAGAGGGAGGUAGAAUUCUAGGUGUAGCGGUGAAAUGCGUAGAUAUCUGGAGGAAUACCUGUGGCGAAAGCGGCCUCCUAAACGAAUACUGACACUGAGGUGCGAAAGCGUGGGGAGCAAACAGGGAUUAGAUACC
rnacentral:rRNA from 1 species